AGAAGAAUCUGGAUACUCUGGAGAAUACAGAGUGAAGAAUAAUGAGUUGAUUAAUGUAAAGUUUCUGAAUCCAGAUUUCCCCACUGCCAUAAGUAUGAAUUCCAACCCUCUCUUCACUGAUUUUCUGGAUAUUUGAUUUGGGAGACUGGAAAAUCCCACGUAGACUUCAGGGUUCUUCCGUUGAGCUACCAUGCUGCUGUUGAUGCUUCUCUCCUCAGCAGCAGAUCUCUUGCUGACUGACAUACCCUCCCCACUCCAUGACUAGCCCCAGCUGGAAAUCUUAUUUAGAGGUUAAAUAAAAUGUGUUCCAGAGAUUUAAAGAUAAAUGAAAUAUUAUAAAUUUGUUCAGACCCGUAGAAUGUACAACACCAAGAAUGAACCCUAAGGUAAACUGUAGACGUUGGGUGAUAGUGAUGUGUCAGUGUAGAUUCAUCAAUUGUAAUAAAUGUACCACUUUUGGUAGUGGAUGUUGAUAAUGUGGGAGGCUAUGCAUAUGUAGGAUGGGGAAUAUGGCUGUACCUUUGAAUUUUGCUGUGAACUUAAAAAUACUCUAAAAAAUAGUAUUUAAAAAAUCUUAAAAUAGGCCAGGCACGGUGGCUCACGUCUGUAAUCCCAGCACUUUGGGAGGCUGAGGCAGGUAGAUCACGAGGUUGGGAGAUCGAGACCAUCUUGGCCAGCGUGGUGAAACCCUGUCUCUACUGAAAAUACAAAAAUUAGCUGGGCGUGGUGGCGUGUGCCUGUAAUCACAGCUACUCGGGAGGCUGAGGCAGGAGAAUGGCUUGAACCAGGGAGUUUGCAGUAAGCCAAGAUCACACCAGUGCACUCCAGCCUGGCAACAGAGCGAAACUCUGUCUCAAAAAAACAAAAUCUCAAAAUAAAAUUAAAAA
rnacentral:lncRNA from 10 species